AGGGCUGGCAUGGCCAACUCCAAGCUCCAAAGCACUCGGCUCUCGGGACGGUAUCGAAGCAGGCCAACUCGGAUAAGUCAAGAGAAAUUGGUCAAUAGGAUCUCACUAUUCUUCCUUUUCUAAAAGUUUAAAAGCCAAACAUGCACUUGACAGACUGGAAAAAAGGUGUCCUACAAGGAUCUUACAAUAUGAAGUUCAAGACGAUUGUUGGAUUGGAGGAGAGUUGGUUCGGUUCUCGGAAAGGAUCGAAGUCCUCAAGAAUCCUUUGGAGAAUCCCUAAGCGAAGCCAGUAGAAAAUUAAAUAAUAACUGAAAACUCAAAAAACUCUGAACUACAACGAACAUAAUAAAAACAAAAGGCAAAUCAAGUUUUGUGUUUUUUUUGUGGUUUUUUUAAUAAUAUUUUACUCUUUUUUUGUAAUAUUUAUAAUAUUUAUAGAUAUUUUAGCUCUGUAAUGUAGAUACAAUGUACAAUGUAGAUACAUCCUGUGUCGUCACAUCAUCCUCAUGUGUAGAUUAUGUGUAGAUUAAAUGACCUUACGUGUAAAAUGUAGACGACGCAAAAAAAAGCUAUAAACUAAUUUAGGUAAAGAUAAAAUUAAAUUUAAAAAUAAUUAUUGUAAAAAUAGUUUGUAUUUUUUUUUUUGUAAAUUUUUUAUAAUCAAUUUUAUGGUUUUUUUUUCUUUGUCGUUUUGUAAAGAUUUAUUUUAUUUAUAUUUAAAAGUGGUUUCUAUAUAGUUUGCUCGCCAUUCAAAAUGAUUUUUUUUUUUCAAAAAAAAUGAUUACAAAUUGAUGAUUUUUCGAAGGAUUGUGGGGGAUAUAAGUGUGUUUGGGGGAGUGGGGGUGUGGGGGUGUGUCCAGCGCCAUGGUUUUAAUUAUAAACUACUAUCACACAGGCAAACCAAAGUGCUGGAUGGCAAAAGAAGGGGGGAUGAAUGGAUGGUGUUUGAGGGUCAAAGGUUAGAGGUUAAUUAGAGGCGGAAUAGGGGGUGGGCAGUGGGGUGGAUGAGUGCGUGAUUAGGUGGGUGGCGAAGGCGGCUAAAUGAAAUACACAACAAAAAAAUUAAACAAAUAAUCAAAGUAAAUAGUAAAGGGGAAUCAUCGGUGACGAAGUCCCAUCAUCUCCUAUGGAUACAAAAUCAAUUGGAAAUUAUUUUAAGGAUAUUUCAAGGAUGCCAAACAAUUCCAAGCUAAGUCCAUUUCUAUUUCUAUUAAACUUGCAUUAAAAUAUUUAUAGAUAUAUAUAUUUUUUUUGUUUUUAGUUAAAAAUUGGUUAGUAUUGUUUUUGAAGUUUUUGUGGGGUGGAUGGUAUGAGUUUUUUUUUUUGUUUUUUUUUUCUUUUUCAUUUCUUUUUCUUUAGCAUGUAUGUAUGUAUGUAUGGGUGUCUUUGCAAUAAAUAUAACGGUAACUAAAUAUAUGUUGUAGCUCAGUCUCCAGUUGAUUACCGUGUAUAGUUUAUUACAAGUCGAAACAAUAAAAAAAUAUUUGUAUAUUAUAUAUAUAUAUAUAUAUAUAUAUAUAUAUGAAUAAGAUUAAAUAAAGACUAUCAAAUAUAUAAUAAUAUAUAUAUUCAAAAUGCUUCAAAUGUACAAAAACAAACAAAGCUAAGUGGGCCGGGCGGGGGGUGGGUAGGGAAAAAAAAUAAGGAAUUUUUUUUUGAACUAGUUUCGCUUUCUCUCGGUUCUAGGUUCUAGGUUCUAGGUUCUUCUCGAUUAACGGUUCAUUUCAUUUCGGUUCCUUUCCUUUCCCUUUCUCUCCUUUUUCUAUGCGUUGCCUACUUCAUAUUUUCAUAUUUUUUCUCUUAAUUUUUCUCUUAACUUUCGUGAAUUUAGAUACGAUGUUAUAUGGUUGCUAUUGUUGUUAUUUUUGCGUUAUAUGUACAUUUUACAUUACGAAUAGAGGUCGAAUAUCGAAUUUUACAUAGAGAGUUUAGUUUAGUUUAUGUUGGUAGGGUUUAUUACUUAUGUAUGUGUUGGUUUUCAAAACAUCUCGGGGUUUUGCUUCAUUUUUAGUUGUUUUUUAUGUUUGUUUGUUUGUUUUUUUUUUCGUUUUUGUUUUUGUUUGUUUAAAUUUUGUUAAAAAAUUUGCAUGUCCUUAAAGUGUGUGUGUGUGUGUGUUUUUGAGUAAACUUCUCUUACGGCUGACACAAUCGGUUCUCUUUCUUCAUCCAUUUUCGGAUCUUAAUUGCUAAAAAUAUAUAGUAAAUGAUGAAAGUUUUAUUUUGUUUAGUAUUUCAUGUUUUUCUUUUCUCAAAAAGUUCUGGUUCUGGGUUUCUGUUUCUCAGCUUUUUUCGUAGCUUUUGUUUUCUGGUUCGGUUUCAACUCCUAAAGUUGCGAAAUAUUUCACUUUUUGUUUUUUUUUUUUAAUAUUUUCCCUGCGAUCCUCAGUGGGCUCGUGGCUUUGUCUGUCUUUCAGAGUGAGUUGGAUCCUUCGUCGUUGUGUCUGUGUCCUGUUUCUGUUUUUCCUUUUCUUUUGACCUACUGUUUUCUUUAUUCCUGCUCCUGCUGCUCUGGAUUCUGGCGGAUUUUGCGUCCAAAUUUUAUUUUAGAAACUAAAAAAUAAUUAACCCCCAAUUUGUAUUAUUUUCAAUUAACUGUUAUCUUAUCCUUUCUUUUUUAUCCUCGUUUUAGAUUUAAUUUUUAACUUUUUACUUUCGCUUUUCGUUCGUACUGUGUGAGUGGCGGCUUCUCUUUUUUCUUUUUUCUCUUUUUUUUUCUGGGCUAUUUGAUGCUUUGCUCUGCUUCUUCUUCAGCGUUGCUAACGGUUCUUCAGUUGUUCGUCCUUUUUCUGCUCUGCUCUGCUCUAUGUUUCUAUGCUGUUUUCUGGCUGUUGUUGUCAAGCUAACGGUUAAACUCGCUUUAUAUCGUUAUUAUAAUCCCUAGAAAAGAAUGUCUCAUUUAUCAACUGUUGCUCUCUCUUGCUCUUCCUCUCCUCUCAAUCGCUCUCUUCAUGCGCCUAACAAUUGAAAAAUAAUCCUUCAUCUUUUUUAGUUUAAUUUCUUUGUUUUGUUUUUUUUUUUUUAAGUAUAUGCCUUAAGAAAACUCUUCAAUAGGUAAAAUUCUUUUUUCAUAAUAGACACGAAAAAAAUGAAGUAUAUAUGUUUUAAAAUUAUAAUAAUAAACUCUUGAUUUGUACUCAUGUUUGUACCGCUAAAAAACGUUAUCCCUUCCACUCUCGCCUAGUUCCUUUUGUAAAUAUUUAUAUAUAUUUAUAUAUAUAGCUUUAUAUAUAUAUAUAUGUACAUAUAUAAAAAAAUAUGCCUUUUUAAAAAAGUAUUCUUUCCGUUUCUCCUUGUGUUUUUUGUGUUUUUUUUUGUUGUUGUUGCAGUUUUGCUUGUAAAGAAUCUUAUCUUUUUCAUCGACAUCCUCUCUCUCUCUCUCUUUCUCUCUCGCUCUCCGUCUCUUUCAUUUUUCAAACGAGUACAAACUUGUUUGUUUUCCCUUCAAGUUUCAAAAUUAUAAAUAUUCCAUAAAUCAACAUUAAAUUAUACAAUUUUCUUUUUUUGUGAAUUCUGAUAGCAAAGCAAAAUUUUCUUGAUUCUUGUUGUUGUAGUUGUUUUUGUUGUUGUUGUUGUUGUUGUUGUUAUCUUGAUUCUUGUUCGUUCAUGUCAAAGUACUUUUGUGGGUGCUGGUGUCUGGAUGUUUUUUUUUUUUGUGCGUUUGUGUAUAAAAUGUACAUCAAAAGCAUUUUUCCUCAACGUUAAAUAAUAUGUUUUUUUCAUAAAUUUUAAUGUUUUUUUUUUUUCGUUUUCUUUUAGUAAGUAGUUUUUAAAGUUUAAAUAGAUUUAAAAACGAGUUUAUCACACCUUAAACGUUAUCAGUACUUGGCACAACUUACAACACAAAAAAAGUACUUUUCAUUUCUUUUUCUCAUUUUCUCAUUUUCUCUUUUCCCAUUUUUUUUUCGUCUGCCUAGAGGGGUUCUUGGACUUUCGGAAAGGAAAACUUUACAAAAAAAAUGGUAUUUUUAUAUAAUGUUUUAAAUAAAUUUGAAUAAUUAUAUAAUGAAUAAUUUGAAUUUGUUUGAAAAUGUAUUUUUUUUUAGAUUUAAGACUUGAAAUUAGAACUGUUUUGUAAAGCUUCCCUUUUUUUUCCACCUUAUUCAGGCCCAAGUCCCGUUAUCCUCGCAGAACCCUACUCCAUUUUUCGCUUUUCCCUUUCACAUCCUACUUCCUUUCUGUCGUCCUUCCUUCCUAACCGUUGCCUCACUUUCCUACCUGCUUUAAUAACGAUAUAAAAUAGCCUCUAAAUACUAAAAAAUAAUUUCGUUUCUGCUUUCUUCUCCUUUUCGCACUCGCUUCUCGCUUCACUUUCUUCCGUCCUUCGUCUUCCGUUCUUCAACUGAGUUUCCAUUCUACAUCAUUUAUCAUUAUGCUUUAUCCUUAUCUUUGUCUUCGUUUUCAACGCGCACGCUAACUCACAAGUUUUCAGUAUGUUUUCCAUUUUUUUGUUUUUAAUUUAAAUUAUUAUUAUUAAAUAUUAAUAUUUUUAACCCCCCAUCGAAAUAAACCAGAGCUAUAGCUAAAUUAUUAACUCGUCCUCCUCUUUGAUUCAGCAUUUGGAAUAAUAAUUUUCAAUUCUUUGUUCUUUCCUUUCUCAUUUCUCAUUUCUUCUCUCUUCCUUAUUUCCUUAUUUUUUUGUGAAUCUUUUAUAAAAAUUCCGUUCAUUUUUUUUUUUAUAAAUAUCGUUUUUAGUUUUUGUUUUUUUUAAGCAUACAUUUAUAUAUAUCUAUAUAUAUAUGUAUAUGCUUAGGACUUGGUAUUGACAACUUUGGACAUUUUUUGUUGAAAAAAAAAAAAAUAGUUAUAUUAAUUAAUAUGUAUAUAUAGAAGUGGAUAUACAAACAUAUCUCAAAUAAAACAAAAUGUCGAUCUCUCUCUCUCUUUUCAGCAUAUACAUAUGUAUAUCCCAUAUAUAUACAUAUAUAGCGGCUCGAUAUCGUUUAUCGUAUAUCGUAUAUCGUAUAUGUCUAGCAACAUUCUUAUAUACACUUCCCAUUCCCCGACUCGCUCUCUCCUCUCCUGACUCUACACGUCUGUUCCUGUUCCUGCUCUAGCUCCUACUGCUGCAGGUUAUGGUGGUGGUGGUGGGGGGGGGAUGGUCUUAUACUGUUCUGGGUGGGUGGGUGAGUGAGUGAGAUUGGUUGCGAUUAUCGGUUAUCGGUUGUUAUCGGACAUGCCUUCUCUAAUGCAGUUUUGUAAUUCUCCGGUUCUAAUUGGUUGUAUUAUCGAUUUCUUCGCAAUUCUCUUCAGAUUUCUUGUUUGUUUUGGACUUAAAAACUAGUUUACAUUUUUAAGGUGUUUUCUUAAAUCUUUUAUGUUUUUUUUUUGUUUAGCUCACUUUUUAGGAUAUUCAUUCAUUUUUAUGCUCGUUUAAGUUUAAGUUUUAUUUGUUUUUUAGUUUUUUAAAGUUUUUUUUUUUUUUGUAGAAGAUAAUGCACUUACAUUGAGGUAUUUUAAUUACUUUUUCAAUCUUCUUCAAAGUUUUUCUCAUAUUUGUUAUAUCUUUUUUGCUUCUGUUUUCUGGUUGUGUUUCAGAUUUAGUUUAGUUUUUGCUUCUCUUAAAAGGAAAACACGAAAAUUAAAAUGUUAAAAGUGUAAAAAUAAAAAGCAAAUGUGAUUUUUUUUUCAAAAUAUUAGGUGGUGUUGCCCUAAAGCUUGUACAGUUGCUUGCUGCCUUUUCUUCUUCUAUCUUUUCUAUCAUUUUUUUUUUUCAAAUGUUUUCCGUUUUCUUGAAUUUUGUCCAAAAUUUGGUAUUUUUUUUGUUUGUUAUUUUUCAUCCAAAAUAAUGUGCCGCUCAAAAGUUGAUCUUAGUUGUUUUUUUUUUAUCGAAAUAAUGUUGAUUUUGGUUUUUUUUUUGCCGAAAUGUUGAUUUUUCUUCGUUGUUUUCUUCUUCUGGUGUUCUUUCUACUAAAUGCCUGAAAUAUAACAGCUCUCCGAUGCAAGUGUUAUACAAACAAAAGGGUGGGAUUCCCCGGGAUUGUUAUCGAUAAUUGAUAAUUGUGGGUGUUCGAUAUUCUCUGAGAUACUCUAACUAUUUUGUAGUAACAUAUUAAACACUAUGGAAUAGCUCUAGUUACGUUAAACAAAAUACAAAAAAAAUAUAUAAAAUUAGUAAUCAAGUAGCAGUAGUUAAUUAUUAGAUAUAGUAUUAGAUCGGGCUAUUGCUAUUGUUGCUAUAUGUUUUGGCUCGUAGUAUUGUAUAUAGGUUUGUUUGUUUGUUUGAUUGUUUGUUGCUCCGUUUUCAGUUACUUGGGUUGUAUUGAAUAUUGUUCAGUUGUUAUAAACUGUUAUAAACUGUUUUAAACUGUCAUUAACUGUUAUACUGUCAUAAUUCUCUAAGAAAUGCAUUUUUUUGAUUGAUUUGAUUUUAUUUGAGUUGAGGUGUGUAGAGUUGAAAUGCAAAUGAUUCUAGUUGUGUAGUUGCCCCAUCCAUGUAUAACAGCUUGUCUCUCAUACACGCUCAAACGUUAUAACGUAACACUUAACGUAACGUAACGUAACGUAACGAUCAACUCUCUCUCUCAUCCCGUUCCUAUCGCCUCCUUCGUUUAAAAAAAAUUAACAUUUCAGCACCGUCAUUUCAUUUUUUAGUUUAGUUUUUUAGUUAGUUUUUGUUUUUCAUUUCAAGGCAAACACAUUACAAUAGUUUCUUUAACACUAUCCCUCUCUCUCUCUCUCUCUCUCUCGCUCUAUCAUUAGUUAUAAUCAAGUUAUAAU